CUGGGCGUAAGAGUUGCGUAGGCGGCAUGGUAAGUAGGUAGUGAAAGCGUGGGGCUCAACCCCAUACACAUUAUCUAAACUGCCAAGCUAGAGAGUGAGAGAGGUAUCUGGAAUUCCCAGUGUAGGAGUGAAAUCCGUAGAUAUUGGGAGGAACACCGAUGGCGUAGGCAGGGUACUGGCUCAUUUCUGACGCUAAGGCACGAAAGCGUGGGGAGCAAACGGGAUUAGAUACCCCGGUAGUCCACGCCGUAAACUAUGGAUGCUAGCCGUAUGGGGUAUCGACCCCCUAUGUGGCGAAGCUAACGCGUUAAGCAUCCCGCCUGUGGAGUACGAGCGCAAGCUUAAAACAUAAAGGAAUUGACGGGGACCCGCACAAGCGGUGGAGCGUGUUGUUUAAUUCGAUGGUAAGCGAAGAACCUUACCCAGGCUUGACAUCCUGCUAAGGUUUCCGAAAGGAAACUGUGCCUUUAUGGAAGGCAGUGACAGGUGAUGCAUGGCCGUCGUCAGCUCGUGUCGUGAGAUGUUUGGUUAAGUCCAUCAACGAGCGCAACCCCUUUGUUUAGUUGAAUUUCUCUAAACAGACUGCCCUGGCAACAGGGAGGAAGGAGGGGUCGAAGUCAGGUCAGUAU
rnacentral:rRNA from 1 species